AUGGCAGCGGGAGGCUCUGACACGCGGCCCACACCCCCGGCCGCCGGGACCGCGUCGAGCCACUGGCGAGACCGACCCGCAUCGUA
rnacentral:ncRNA from 1 species